rnacentral:tRNA from 1 species
GCACCGGUGGUGCAGUGACGUUAGCAUCCUGCCCGGAAAGUAGGCGGCGUGGGUUCGAGUCCCGCCUAGUGUA